rnacentral:tRNA from 1 species
UCCCUGGUGGCUCAGAUGGUAAAGUGUCUGCCUACAAUGCAGGAGACCCAGGUUUGAUCCCUGGGUCGGGAA